AUCCAGUUGACGAGUCUCAAAUAAGUCGAAACGCGCGUGCUGUAU
rnacentral:hammerhead_ribozyme from 1 species